ensembl:processed_transcript
CUGGCCUGCCCGCCCAGCGAGGAACCUAGGUAGGCCGCGGGCGCCGGCGCCCAUCGCCCCCCAUCCGGGAGCCCGGGAGGAAAGGGACAGUUGAGGAGCUCGUGCGCUCCGAGGAGGCUGCAGUCCUGCGCGCGCGGCGAGCCGAGGCCCUGGGAUCCGAACUGCCACCUCCGCCGCCGCCAUCCUCGAAGCCUCCAGGCAAGGCCUCCAGGCCGAGCCGCUCCGGAGCUGCUCACCCGCGCCCGGGCGCUCCGAAUCCAGGAACGUGAGCCCCCGGUCUCCCUUCUCCAAGAGAGCAAAGCCGCCGCGAGCGGGCCAAGUCCGUCCCCUCCCGCCUUGGCUCCACGUCUCCGGCUCGCCUGCCCGAGUCCCGACGCCCCGGGAAAAGGCUUCCAGGGUCCCCAGUCCACCCCACCCCCGGUACCGCUCCCACCCGGACCCGCGUCCCGAGCUUGACACUCCCAGCCUCCGCCACCUCCAACCGCAGCCCCAGCCCGCCUCACCUCAGGCGGCUCCGGCAGCGCUGGACACAGGAAACUCCUGGGUCCUCGACUCCGGCUCUCCUCGACCCCCCUCUUCGGUUAACUCCGCUUGUUUUCUCGACAAAAUGGCGCCCGAGGUCGCGCGCUCACGUCGCGGCCUUUCCCCUCCCAGUUCCCAUUUCACCAUUCGCUGCCCGCUUUGGCGGAGGGAUGGCCCUAGCGCCCAGCCAAUGGCCGCGCGCUGGCUGCAACGGCCGUCCAAUCGCCGAUGGGUACCCGCGGAUUUAAACCAAUCACACACUAAUCACUCGCAGAAGUCGAGGAAGAAACCAGGCUCCUGCUAGCAACCACCAAUCCAGACUCCUAGUUUGCGGGGCUCAGGCCAAUUGCCGCUCAUCAGCCCUAAGGGACUGGGUCCGAGCCUGGGCGCCUGCGCACCCGGGUGUAAGCCAAUGGUUAGACGUUGGGAACUUCGAUUUGGGACUCGAAGACAUAAGCCUUCGAGGUGUUCGACCUAUGGGGACUGGCUGGUCAUUGCCUCCGGGAAACAAAAAAAAUACGGAAGGGAGCCCGUUAAUGCAUUGCCACCCUGCGCACAAACUACUCUAACUUAGAGACAGGGUGAUGCUCGUCUACUUUCCUUCGUCUUUCGAAAUGUCACGGUCCGAGAGGCUGUGCGGGUUCCCAGCGGAAGCAUUGUCCACCCCUUAGAUCUCUUUAGCAAGGAGCACCAGUCAUCAGAAGGCGUCAGACGCGGGGCAAAGUUGAGGUCCUUUACAUCCUGGGUUAUGUAGUCGCACGCCCCGCCUAGUCCUGUCGCAAAAGUAACGUGAUCUCUUCCAUCACUGUCUGCGCCCUAGAGCAGCAAUGCAUGCUGGAGAAUGUAGUCUCCCAGAUGCCCACCUAAUCCUGGCUCUUUUAAAGUUUGUUUUCCAUUUGUCUUUUGAAGCAGGAACGCUUUGCAGAGAUAUAGAAACAGAAGUUCUCCUCCUGCUCUUGGCCAUUCUCAAGGAUGCCAAUGCCUUUUGCUUCUUGGAUAAAAGGCUACGUUAUCCACUGUGUCCUAUCUUUUAGGCUUUUUGUUUGAAUUUUGAAACAAGGUCUCUUUCAGUUAACCCAACUGUAGUCCAGGCUGGCCUGAAACACACUAUGAAGCAUAAAUUGACCUUGAGCUCCUUGCAAUCUUCCAAACUACUGAGAUGAUAAUAGACGUAACCUCUCAUACCAGUACUAUUUGAACUUUAAAGAGAUGUGUUAAAGACUUGUAUUACUUAUUUUACGUGUACGGGCGUUUGCUUGCAUGUAAAUCUAUGCACCAUGCAUGUACAGUGUCCUCAGAGGUCAAAAGAGGAUGCCCGUCCCUCUGGAAGUGGACGGUUGUGAGCCACUGGGUGGGUCCUCUGGAAAAGCAGCCAGCUCUUGUAAUCUCUGUGCCAUCUUUCCAACCCCUAGAUGAAGAAAAAAAAAAGUGUCUGAGUGCUUGCCUAUAUAUAUGUUCACCAAGAGGGUGUGGACCUGGUACCCAGGAAGGCAUUGGAUGCCCCGGGACUGAGAUGAGAGUCUCAGAAGUAAAGUUGUAAGCUGCUCUAUGAGUGCUGGAACCCCCACCCCUGCUCCUCUGCAAAAACAGCUCCUCUCCAGCCCCCAUCUUGAACUUUUUUAUCAAUGUUUUAUUUGUGCAAUUUAGCAAUAUGGGGGUUGUUUCAUUUUGUGGGUUUUGUUUUCUUUUGUUGUUGAAGAAGAGAGACAAAGAUGAACUGGGACUGUUCUGGAGAAGGGGGAGGGGGACAUACAAGUCAACUACCCAAGAUCAAUUCUGUAAUUCUACAACCAGUUUAGUUCAAGCUUCAAUUGCCCCCAAACUGAAGCCCUCUGAAACAACCAGAAACCUACUUCCUACCUGGACUAUAUCACUAGCUUCCUGGGUUACGCUGGAGUAGCUCUCAGCGACUGCUCCAGUGCAGUGAAGCUGCGGGGCUCCCUGCCUUGAUGAUACUAAAUCUCUGAAACUGUGUUUAUCUCCAACCUCUGAUGUGACCCGAUGGCCUCGUGACUAAUGUUAAGUCCUUCUGGAAUGGACAAACAUACCUCUGCAUCCCACCAGUUCAAAGGCUAAGAGUGUCAUCAGAUAACGUCUGUGGCCUAGAACAGAGAUUUCCCUUCUUCACUGGAGUCAAUCGACCUGAUGCCCCCACCAGUGUAUUUGGAUGGAAGGUGCCUUGGUGUGUCGUUUUCAUGAAACUGUUACCACAUUGGAUCAUGGUGUUUGAGAUAACCUGAAUCCAUUAAUAGACAUCAACUAUUCAUAUUUGGGCCC